CUACAUCGUCCUGUUGGACCUUCCACAUCUCUGACACAGAUUCAGAAACAAUUUAGCUGCAGCCAGCAAAAGCCUUUUGAUUGAAUUACUUAAUUACAGAACAGGAGCAUCAUAGAUUAAACUUGGCAUAAUUGCAGAAUGAUUAAAUUGUCACUCUGAAUGAUCAUUUACACGUUAAUAAAUCCUGCAACCCUCCCCCACUCAUCAACUUAUCGCUUCAUGUGAAGCAUCAAAGGUCGCAUGUGUCGACCUGUCUGGGACACGUCAGCAAGACCAACACCUGAUAACAUGCAGUCAGAAUAAGGUUUGUUUUAAGAAUCCAAUCAGAGAUUGGAGACAGCUACAGAAAAGUUGGAAUUUGCUCUGGAAAUCGACAACUUCAGCUUUGUGCCUCCGUAGUCGUUAUCCCGUUCAGACCUCAAACUUGCCAUGGAAACUAAUCGACAAAACGGCGACUCGCUGCUGGACAGGCUGCCGAUCAGCACCGUGAGCACGACUCCCUAGGAAGCAGGAACACAGAGUCGUGUGCCCCCUGGUGGCCUCAGGGAGAAAUAACCCGAAAGGAUUACAACACAUAUCCAUUUUCUUGCUUGUAAACCAACCUUGAUAGCAAAAGGUCAUUUACCAGAGGAGCCAAUGAGAGCAUAAGAAACAGACCCCGCACCUGCAAAUGGUGAUGUCGCGAGGUC